GGGUCGAUGGCUGAGUGGUCUAAACCGUUGGUUUACAACCGCUACGACCUGGGUUCGAAUCCCGCAUUAGGUACU